GUGUUCUCUUCAGCAGCACAUAUACUAAAAUUGGAAUGAUAAAGAAAAGAUUAGCAUUGCCCCUGCGCAAGAAUGACACACAAAUCUGUGAAGCGUUUCAUAUUUUU
ensembl:snRNA U6 U6 spliceosomal RNA